UACGUAGGGGGCAAGCGUUGUCCGGAUUUAUUGGGCGUAAAGAGCGUGUAGGCGGCUAGGUAGGUCCGUUGUGAAAACUCGAGGCUCAACCUCGAGCUGUCGAUGGAAACCAUCUGGCUAGAGUCCGGAAGAGGAGAGUGGAAUUCCUGGUGUAGCGGUGAAAUGCGCAGAUAUCAGGAAGAACACCCGUGGCGAAGGCGGUUCUCUGGGACGGUACUGACGCUGAGACGCGAAAGCGUGGGGAGCGAACAGG
rnacentral:rRNA from 1 species